AAGGCAUGGUAAGGACAUUUCCUAAGCAUUUCUUUAAAUCUCCCGCAACUUUCAUAAAUGGAUUCUCCUUCAAAUUGGGCAAAAGAUGCGAUAUCCUUUUUAAGUUU